rfam:Oryza sativa Japonica Group DNA, chromosome 9, cultivar: Nipponbare, complete sequence.
ACUAUGGUUUUCGUCCGUCUUAUAUGAAUUUUUUUAUAAUUAGUAUUUUCAUUGUUGUUAGAUGAUAAAACAUGAUCAAUACUUUAUGCGUAACUUAUCUUUUUAAUUUUUUUCAUAAUUUUUUCAAAUAAGACGGACGGUCAAAUGUUGGACACGAAAAUCAUGG